AGUGAACGCUGGCGGUAGGCCUAACACAUGCAAGUCGAACGGCAGCACAGUAAGAGCUUGCUCUUACGGGUGGCGAGUGGCGGACGGGUGAGGAAUACAUCGGAAUCUACUUUUUCGUGGGGGUUAACGUAGGGAAACUUACGCUAAUACCGCAUACGACCUACGGGUGAAAGGAGUGGAUCUUCGGACCUUGCGCGAUUGAAUGAGCCGAUGUCGGAUUAGCUAGUUGGCGGGGGAAAGGCCCAGCAAGGCGACGAUCCGUAGCUGGUCUGAGAGGAUGAUCAGCCACACUGGAACUGAGACACGGUCCAGACUCCUACGGGAGGCAGCAGUGGGGAAUAUUGGACAAUGGGCGCAAGCCUGAUCCAGCCAUACCGCGUGGGUGAAGAAGGCCUUCGGGUUGUAAAGCCCUUUUGUGGGGAAAGAAAAGCAGCAGGUUAAUACCCCGCUGUUCUGACGGUACCCAAAGAAUAAGCACCGGCUAACUUCGUG
rnacentral:rRNA from 1 species